rnacentral:rRNA from 1 species
UGGGGAAUAUUGCACAAUGGGGGAAACCCUGAUGCAGCGACGCCGCGUGAGUGAAGGAGUACCUCGGUACGUAAAGCUCUAUCAGCAGGAAAGAAAGAAGACGGUACCUGACUAAGAAGCCCCGGCUAACUACGUGCCAGCAGCCGCGGUAAUACGUAGGGGGCAAGCGUUAUCCGGAUUUACUGGGUGUAAAGGGAGCGUAGACGGCAUAGCAAGUCCGGAGUGAAAGCCCGCGGCCCAACCGGGGGACUGCUCUGGAAACUGUCAGGCUGGAGUGCAGGAGAGGUAAGCGGAAUUCCUAGUGUAGCGGUGAAAUGCGUAGAUAUUAGGAGGAACACCAGUGGCGAAGGCGGCUUACUGGACUGUAACUGACGUUGAGGCUCGAAAGCGUGGGGAGCAAACAGG